GACGAACGCUGGCGGCGUGCUUAACACAUGCAAGUCAAGGGGGCCCGCAAGGGUAACCGGCGAACGGGUGCGUAACACGUGAGCAAUCUGCCUAGAUGUGGGGGAUAGCCGGCCCAACGGCCGGGUAAUACCGCAUACGCUCUCCGGGUGGCAUCACCUGGUGAGGCAACAUUCGUGGCAUCUAGAGGAGCUCGCGGCCUAUCAGCUAGUUGGUGGGGUAACGGCCUACCAAGGCUUUGACGGGUAGCUGGUCUGAGAGGAUGGCCAGCCACAUUGGGACUGAGAUACGGCCCAGACUCCUACGGGAGGCAGCAGUGGGGAAUAUUGCGCAAUGGCCGAAAGGCUGACGCAGCGACGCCGCGUGGGGGAUGAAGCAUUUCGGUGUGUAAACCCCUGUUGCUCGGGACGAACAACUGGUUUCGACCAGUCUGACGGUACCGGGUGAGGAAGCACCGGCUAACUCCGUGCCAGCCGCCGCCGUAAUAC
rnacentral:rRNA from 1 species